UGGCUAGAGGGUGGAUGUAUUAUCCAUAGCGUAUAUGUACGAUGGCCAGGUGAGUUUGACAGUUCCAUGAGUGAAUUGAAAAAUAUAUUUAUAUGGUUGACAAUCGGUAUAAUUUAUCUUGACUUGGCAUGACUGAACGUGGCUUGGUGAUAUUUUGUUGACUUGUUGGUCUUAAUCCUAAACUAUUUAUAUGGUGUUGAUGUGCUAAGUGUAUGUUAGUUUUGAGCAUGGAUUAAUCUAUUGUACUAUAUUUUAGUUAAGUGUUCAUAUUCUCAUCUUGGGUUGGCCAAAAGAUCUUACUUAUACUGUUGUUUUCUUUUGUGCUGAUACUACACCUGCUCUUACUUUUAUGAGUGCAACACAUAUUCCAGGAGCUACUAUGAGACCUCUCUUGUGAUUCGAGUGGUUGACUUUGGAUUCAAGGGUGACUAGCAUGUUUUGAGCUACUAUGAAUUCUUCUUAAAUGAUAGAGUCUUUAUUUUUGGACUUAUAGUUUAAUUUUAUUUUUUUGGAUUGCAUCUCCUUCUUGAUAAUCUUUAGUAGUUUUAGUACACACAAUUUUUGAGUCCUAGGGAUAAUUUUUGGUUAAGUAUUCCAUAUUUAAGUUGUACUUAGGUUUUAUUUUUUUAUACUUGAUAUUUUAAUGAUGGAUUAGUUCUAUUAUCUCUUUUAAGUAUUGAUUUUGAGAUAGUAUUUUGGGAUAGAUGGUUCUCCCAUUGGGUGAGUAGUCUGGGUGCCACUCAUGACGGAUUAGAUAGUGACAAAGUUGGUAUCAAAGACUAGGUUUAUCGAUCUCUUCAUACCAAAAUAAAUCCAGUAGAGUCUCGUAAAACUGUACAAAGACGUCUGUAAUUUUUUGGGAAGCUAUAGGACUUUAGAAAAUUUGUCAUUCUUAUUUCUUUCGUGUUAUAACUUGAUUCAAUUUAAUAUCUGAUUUCUUCGCUCUUUUGUCCAUAGUAGGUCCACUGAAAUCCGAAUGCAGCUCCUGCCCUAGCAGCUCUAGCUGAGAAGCCAGUCUUAAAGAAAAGAAGAUGAGUGAGGGGGAGUGGUAAGAGAGGAAGAGGAUGAGUCACAUCCGUCAGGGGUGGAUCUCGAUAGUUGUUGGCCAGGAUCUUGAACGAUCAAUAUCCACUCUCCUACCUCAUGAUCAUGUUGAGGAAUGGUAAGUAAUAGAGGAGUAGAGGAUGGAGCCCGAAGUGACGGUACCAACUGGGAUUGCAGCCUUACAUUCCAUGUCUGCUGAGGUUGUUCAAUAUGUGUUAGCUUUUUCGAGUGGGUUGGCUUGGAUUGGAGCCACUCCUACUGUAUUAAAUUUUCAGGCACUGGUUGUCCCCCUACUAUUUCUAUGGAUCCUACAAUGGAUGAGGCUUCAGGGACUAAUACUUUUUCUCAAUUGAUUUUGGGUUCUGUGAUGACUGGUACGGAAUAUGAUUUGUUGACUAAUUGAGUUUGUGACUUUCCUGUUGGAGAAGGAUGCUAAGCAAUGGUGA
rnacentral:lncRNA from 1 species